rnacentral:rRNA from 1 species
AUUGAACGCUGGCGGAAUGCUUUACACAUGCAAGUCGAACGGCAGCACGGGGGCAACCCUGGUGGCGAGUGGCGAACGGGUGAGUAAUACAUCGGAACGUGCCCAUGUCGUGGGGGAUAACGUAGCGAAAGCUACGCCAAUACCGCAUACGAUCUACGGAUGAAAGCGGGGGAUCGCAAGACCUCGCGCGAUUGGAGCGGCCGAUGGCAGAUUAGGUAGUUGGUGGGGUAAAGGCGCACCAAGCCAACGAUCUGUAGCUGGUCUGAGAGGACGACCAGCCACACUGGGACUGAGACACGGCCCAGACUCCUACGGGAGGCAGCAGUGGGGAAUUUUGGACAAUGGGCGCAAGCCUGUUCCAGCCAUUCCGCGUGCAGGAUGAAGGCCCUCGGGUUGUAAACUGCUUUUGUACGGAACGAAACGGCCUUUUCUAAUACAAGAGGCUAAUGACGGUACCGUAAGAAUAAGCACCGGCUAACUACGUGCCAGCCGCCGCAGUAACAC